rnacentral:rRNA from 1 species
UACGUAGGGUGCGAGCGUUAAUCGGAAUUACUGGGCGUAAAGCGUGCGCAGGCGGUUUGUUAAGACAGAUGUGAAAUCCCCGGGCUUAACCUGGAACUGCAUUUGUGACUGGCAAGCUAGAGUAUGGCAGAGGGGGGGUAGAAUUCCACGUGUAGCAGUGAAUGCGUAGAGAUGUGGAGGAAUACCGAUGGCGAAGGCAGCCCCUGGCCAAUACUGACGCUCAUGCACGAAGCGUGGGAGCAACAGG